GGCCUCAUGGCUCAGUUGGCUAGAGCGUUGUCUGCACUAAAGCCUUCCCCAUUGCUGGCGUGGGUUUGAAUCCCACCGAGUCCG
rnacentral:tRNA from 1 species